GCAUUCUCCCUGGUGGUGACAGUAAUGUGGCUUCUGUCCAACGCAGAGUUGAUCGCGUCGAUGAUUCUAAUCAAAACCACGCCUUCUGUAAGCUUGGUUGUGCCUCGUCUCUGUGCUCCAAUAUCAGUACCAACAAAAAUCCCAAUGCCGAUAAUAUGGAAAAGUGUGUGGGAUCUUGUUCUCAGAAGUGCGACAACACCUACUCAUCAAAUACAUCAUCCCCUUGAUCAAACUAGGGAGGUUUUGCUCUGCUACUCUAAGGAUUGUUAUGCCUCUUUGUUUCUCUUCCUUGAUUUGUGG